AGACCGCGUGGCCUGCACCUAUAUGUACUUCCCAGCUCGCCGGCAGAUACAAGCGCCGCACGCCGAUCGAAAAUUCAGACACACACUCGCAAGAAGGCGCCCACCGGCGCGAAAGGCGGCCCGGGAGGUGGUGGAGGCGGCGCCGACAUGGGCCGGAUCCCAUGCUGCGAGAAGGAGAAGGUGAAGCGCGGGGAGUGGACGGACGAGGAGGAGGACAAGCUGCUCUCCUACAUCAUGCAGUACGGCGCGCGCAACUGGCGCCUCAUCCCCAAGAACGCCGGCUGCCAGCCCAGCCCGUUGCAGUGGAUACCGAGCGUCGGCCGUUCUCGUCUCUUAUCUCCUCGCUUCUAGUAUCCUGUCAGUCACUUUCCCCUCUCAGUUUCAGUCUCUCUUCUCCUCCAUGUGUCGUCGCCUCUUCCUAUGCAGAGCUAGGGAUUUGCAUCUCGACGUUUUUCUUGGUUUAGGAGAUCUCCUUUGCUGCUUCUGCUCUUUUCCAGGUAUAUUUUUUUGUCUUGAAUCUUCUUUCUGUGUAGUUUUUGGUCAGGGUUUCUUGUUUAGAAUGCUAUCUUGUGUAGCAUGCUUUCUCUAUUGAUUCUGUUUUCUUCAGAUUUGUUCCAAUGUCUGCCAGGUUAGGGUUUUUUUGUUGUUGGGGUAGUACAAGUAGAUCUUUAUGGUUCUUGUCUAUCAUGUUUCAGUUAAGGUAUCUGUUUUCUUCAGAUUUGAUCUAAUUUUUGCCUGAUUAGGGUUUCUACAGAUAUGUGUUUAUGGUUCUUUGUUUAUCAUGCUUAGAUUAGGAUUUUCGUUGUGUUUAUAUUUUGCUCUGACUGUUGGCAUGUUAAGUUUACUUUUGAGAUUUGAUCUGAUUUUUAUUUAGUAAGGUUUUUUUCGUUAAUCUUAGAUAUGUAUGUCUUGAAAGGUCAAAUCCUUUUUGUUUAUAUUGUUAAUCUAAUGCUAUUCAUAGGUCGUGUCACUAUUCGCCGUAUUUGAUUUCGUGAGUUUUUGUAUGCAGUGUGUGUAUGCUCUAUGUUAUGUCAAAUCCUUAAAGUUUUUUAACUAUCUUUUUGUGCUUAUAUUUUUUAUUAUGCUGAUGUUUUUAUUUUUAGUUCCUGUAUUUGUAAUAUUUCUGUACAUAGCUUUUUUAGUAUACUGGUGCUUGUAGUUUUUGGUCCCUGCACUUAUAAUAUGCUUGUUCCUAGCUGGUAUAGCAUGGCUGUAUUUGUAUUUGUAUUUUUGUAAAGCAAUUUGCUUGUAUUGGAUUUUUGCAAAUUUUAAAGGGCGCAUGUGCAGUUUAGGUAGAUUUAAACUGUCCUGAUAACCUCUAAACAAAAGAAAUAACAUAAUCUUUCAAAAAUGAAUAAAUGCCUGUGAUCUUUUUCCUUCUGAUACUCUGUGUGCAUAUUUUAAUCUAAGUAGAAUACAGUUAAGUGAUUUGCCUAAUCUUGCAUGAUUACUCUUUGCUUUUGAGCAACUUACGCAAAUUUAGGUCCAUGAUCAUGCAAUAUCUUCAGUUUAUAUUCAUGAAUUUGGUUCGUUGUAUUACUUACAUCUUCACUUCUUUGAAGAUAUCUACCUAGAGUUGGAAUUCAGUUUUUGAGUUUUCUUUUUUUAUGUCCAAUAUGCUUUAAUUAGAAUGUAUUUUUUUGUGUUCUAUAGUUCAUCUAGGUUCUCCGGGUUUUUUAUCCCCUGUUGGGUAAUUAGAUAAUUUUUCCUUUUUAUUUAAGUUUUAUUUUUUAUUUUCUGUAUGUAUGGUUUGCCCGUGCGCCGUGCCUGCCGUUCGAGCCACCCGGAGGAUUUCCUCAAGUGUUUGAUGUUGUCCUUGACGAGGAUUGCUUCAUGCGGAUGUUCUCUCUACAAGAACUUUGGGCAAUCGGAGGAGAAGGACGUAGCAUGGAAGAAAUGGAGAGGAUGGAGAUCUAUCGAGACACCAGAGGGCGGCAGUAUCUGAGUUUUGUUCAUGCGUCCAUGGUGGCGCCGCUGGUGAUGGGGGAAGGAGGGACAAGGAAGAAGACCUAGUUAUAUGUCCGUGAGCUGGAUCCAGAUCUCUGAAGGUAGUGGGUUUGGUUUCUUAGCAGGGUCAGGCCCGUUUAAUUUUGGGUUGUAUAGAUGGCAAAACAUCAAAAGGGGUUUCAGCGCUGGAUCAGUGAUGUUUUUUUUCUUUUGGGCUGAUUCGACUGACGCUUAGUUCGGGUCAGUCAAUUUUGUUUUGCUUUCCAUCAUUCUGCUCUUCUUUAGGAAUCGACUGACACAAUUGUAGAGUCAGUCGAUUGACUUGUAGCCGCUCCCACAACUUAUUAUGUAUCUACACCCGUUGCUACUGUAGAAACAAAUUUCAGAUUCUUAUU